GAAGGACCAACUAAGCUUUUGUGCAAAGGCUGAAGAAGCAGGAACCAGAGAUGCACAAACAGGAGAUAAUGCAAGUUCUGAAGUUCUGAAUGAAAAAAAUUAAGUGAUAUUUACUAUUCUACAGCGACUUGUUGAGGUGCUAAGGAAAGCCAUGCGAUGCCACGCCUGGCAACAAACCCACACUGCUUCAACUUCCUGUGAAGAAAGCCCUACCAUGAUCCCCAC